rnacentral:misc_RNA from 1 species
AUGUGUUUUUUAUUGAACAAAUUUCUUUGGUGGCGGGAGCAAUCCUACCGCCAGAGGUUAUAACUAAACCAAACUUUUUAUUUACAGUCAAACUUGAUUUAUUAUUACAAUAGUCAAAACUUUCAACAACGGAUCUCUUGGUUCUCGCAUCGAUGAAGAACGCAGCGAAAUGCGAUACGUAAUAUGAAUUGCAGAUAUUCGUGAAUCAUCGAAUCUUUGAACGCACAUUGCGCCCUUUGGUAUUCCAAAGGGCAUGCCUGUUUGAGCGUCAUUUCUCCCUCAAACCCCCGGGUUUGGUGUUGAGCAAUACGCUAGGUUUGUUUGAAAGAAUUUAACGGGAAA